CCUGCAGGUCUCUAUAAUACAGUAAACAGUGAAUACACACACACACACACUCUCACACACACACACACACACACACACACACACACACUUGUAUCUGCAUCAUGUAUUCAGUUGUCCUGCAGGUCUCUAUAAUACAGUAAACAGUGAAUACACACACACACACACUCUCACACACACACACACACACACACACACACACACACACUUGUAUCUGCAUCAUGUAUUCAGUUGUCCUGCAGGUCUCUAUAAUACAGUAAACAGAGAAUACACACACACACACACACACACACACACACACACACACACACUUGUAUCUGCAUCAUGUAUUCAGUUGUCCUGCAGGUCUCUAUAAUACAGUAAACAGAGAAUACACACACACACACACACACACACACACACACACACACACACACACACACACUUGUAUCUGCAUCAUGUAUUCAGUUGUCCUGCAGGUCUCUAUAAUACAGUAAACAGAGAAUACACACACACACACACACACACACACACACACACACUUGUAUCUGCAUCAUGUAUUCAGUUGUCCUGCAGGUCUCUAUAAUACAGUAAACAGAGAAUACACACACACACACACACACACACACACACACACACUUGUAUCUGCAUCAUGUAUUCAGUUGUCCUGCAGGUCUCUAUAAUACAGUAAACAGAGAAUACACACACACACACACACACACACACACACACACACUUGUAUCUGCAUCAUGUAUUCAGUUGUCCUGCAGGUCUCUAUAAUACAGUAAACAGUGAAUACACACACACACACACACACACACACACACACACACACACACACUUGUAUCUGCAUCAUGUAUUCAGUUGUCCUGCAGGUCUCUAUAAUACAGUAAACAGAGAAUACACACACACACACACACACACACACACACACACACUUGUAUCUGCAUCAUGUAUUCAGUUGUCCUGCAGGUCUCUAUAAUACAGUAAACAGUGAAUACACACACACACACACACACACACACACACACACACACACACACACACACACACACACACACACACACACUUGUAUCUGCAUCAUGUAUUCAGUUGUCCUGCAGGUCUCUAUAAUACAGUAAACAGUGAAUACACACACACACACACACACACACACACACUUGUAUCUGCAUCAUGUAUUCAGUUGUCCUGCAGGUCUCUAUAAUACAGUAAACAGAGAAUACACACACACACACACACACACACACACACACACACACUUGUAUCUGCAUCAUGUAUUCAGUUGUCCUGCAGGUCUCUAUAAUACAGUAAACAGAGAAUACACACACACACACACACACACACACACACACACACACACACUUGUAUCUGCAUCAUGUAUUCAGUUGUCCUGCAGGUCUCUAUAAUACAGUAAACAGUGAAUACACACACACACACACACACACACACACUUGUAUCUGCAUCAUGUAUUCAGUUGUCCUGCAGGUCUCUAUAAUACAGUAAACAGUGAAUACACACACACACACACACACACACACACUUGUAUCUGCAUCAUGUAUUCAGUUGUCCUGCAGGUCUCUAUAAUACAGUAAACAGAGAAUACACACACACACACACACACACACACACACACACACUUGUAUCUGCAUCAUGUAUUCAGUUGUCCUGCAGGUCUCUAUAAUACAGUAAACAGUGAAUACACACACACACACACACACACACACACACACUUGUAUCUGCAUCAUGUAUUCAGUUGUCCUGCAGGUCUCUAUAAUACAGUAAACAGUGAAUACACACACACACACACACACACACACACACUUGUAUCUGCAUCAUGUAUUCAGUUGUCCUGCAGGUCUCUAUAAUACAGUAAACAGUGAAUACAC